rnacentral:rRNA from 1 species
CAGUAGCCACGGUAAUACAGAGGAUGCAAGCGUUAUCCGGAAUGAUUGGGCGUAAAGCGUCUGUAGGUGGCUUUUCAAGUCCGCCGUCAAAUCCCAGGGCUCAACCCUGGACAGGCGGUGGAAACUACCAAGCUGGAGUACGGUAGGGGCAGAGGGAAUUUCCGGUGGAGCGAUGAAAUGCGUUGAGAUCGGAAAGAACACCUACGGCGAAAGCACUCUGCUGGGCCGACACUGACACUGAGAGACGAAAGCUAGGGGAGCAAAUGGGAUUAGAUACCCGCGUAGUCCCUGUCUCUUAUAA